AUUGAACGAUGGAGGAAGGAGGGAAAAAGGAAAGGCGAGGGGAAGAGAGGCCUGGGGGGGGGCGGAGAGCGGCGAACGGGUGAGGAAGGCAUCGGAACAGGGACAGUCGUGGGGGAUAAAACUUCGAAAGAAGUGCUAAUACCGCAUAGGUCCUGAGGGGGAAAGCGGGGGAUCGCAAGACCUCGCGCGAUUGGAGUGGCCGAUGUCAGAUUAGCUAGUUGGGGGGGUAAAGGCCUACCAAGGCGACGAUCUGUAGCUGGUCUGGGCGGAUUAUCAGCCACACUGGGACUGAGACACGGCCCAGACUCCUCCGGGAGGCAGCAGUGGGGAAUUUUGGACAAUGGGGGCAACCCUGAUCCAGCCAUUCCGCGUGAGUGAAGCAGGCCUUCGGGUUCUAACUCUCUUUCGGCCGGAACGAAACGGUGGGCUCUCCCAUCGUCCGCUAAUGACGUUACCUGCAGACGAAGCCCCCGCUCCCUACGUC
rnacentral:rRNA from 1 species